rnacentral:rRNA from 1 species
GGUGAACGCUGGCGGCGUGCUUAAGACAUGCAAGUCGAACGGCAGUCUUCGGACUGUAGUGGCGCACGGGUGAGUAACGCGUAACUGACCUACCCCAAAGUCGCGGAUAACGAUUCGAAAGAAUCGUUAAUACGAGAUGUGAUGUCAGAGUGUAUUCUGCCAGUAAAGAUGGAUUGCUUUGGGACGGGGUUGCGUUCUAUCAGCUUGUUGGUGGGGUAAAGGCCCACCAAGGCGACGACGGGUAGCCGGCCUGAGAGGGUGGCCGGCCACAGGGGCACUGAGACACGGGUCCCACUCCUACGGGAGGCAGCAGUUAGGAAUCUUCCACAAUGGGCGAAAGCCUGAUGGAGCGACGCCGCGUGAGGGAUGAAGGUCUUCGGAUCGUAAACCUCUGAAUCAGGGACGAAAGACACUUCGGUGGGAUGACGGUACCUGAGUAAUAGCACCGGCUAACUCCGUGCCAGCCGCCGCAGUAACAC